GACGAACGCUGGCGGCGUGCUUAACACAUGCAAGUCGAACGGAAAGGCCCUGCUUUUGUGGGGUGCUCGAGUGGCGAACGGGUGAGUAACACGUGAGUAACCUGCCCUUGACUUUGGGAUAACUUCAGGAAACUGGGCCUAUUACCGGUUAGGACCUCCUCCUCCAUGUUGGGGGUUGGAAAGUUUCGGCGGUUGGGGAUGGACUCGCGGCUUAUCCGCUUGUUGGUGGGGUAGUGGCUUACCAAGGCUUUGACGGGUAGCCGGCCUGAGAGGGUGACCGGCCACAUUGGGACUGAGAUACGGCCCAGACUCCUACGGGAGGCAGCAGUGGGGAAUAUUGCACAAUGGGCGGAAGCCUGAUGCAGCAACGCCGCGUGCGGGAUGACGGCCUUCGGGUUGUAAACCGCUUUCGCCUGUGACGAAGCGUGAGUGACGGUAAUGGGUAAAGAAGCACCGGCUAACUACGUG
rnacentral:rRNA from 1 species